UCGACCACCCCGGCCUCCCAAAGUGCUGGGAUUACAGAGAAAAGGUACCACAUCUUAUUCUUCAUGGUGUCUACAAUAUCUGGCAGUUUUUGGAAGUCAAGGAAAUACGGUCUCACCGUGUUGCCCAGGCUGGCCUUG